GGAUGGAUGGCCGAGUGGUCUAAGGCGCUGUGUUCAGGUUGCAUACGCAUCGUGCAUCGCAGUGGGAAACCGCGUGGGUUCGAAUCCCACUCCAUUCA